rnacentral:rRNA from 1 species
GAUGAACGCUGGCGGCGUGCCUAAUACAUGCCAGUCGAGCGAACAGACGAGGAGCUUGCUCCUCUGACGUUAGCGGCGGACGGGUGAGUAACACGUGGAUAACCUACCUAUAAGACUGGGAUAACUUCGGGAAACCGGAGCUAAUACCGGAUAAUAUAUUGAACCGCAUGGUUCAAUAGUGAAAGACGGUUUUGCUGUCACUUAUAGAUGGAUCCGCGCCGCAUUAGCUAGUUGGUAAGGUAACGGCUUACCAAGGCGACGAUGCGUAGCCGACCUGAGAGGGUGAUCGGCCACACUGGAACUGAGACACGGUUCAGACUCCUACGGGAGGCAGCAGUAGGGAAUCUUCCGCAAUGGGCGAAAGCCUGACGGAGCAACGCCGCGUGAGUGAUGAAGGUCUUCGGAUCGUAAAACUCUGUUAUUAGGGAAGAACAAAUGUGUAAGUAACUAUGCACGUCUUGACGGUACCUAAUCAGAAAGCCACGGCUAACUACGUG